rnacentral:rRNA from 1 species
UACGUAGGGUGCAAGCGUUGUCCGGAAUUAUUGGGCGUAAAGAGCUCGUAGGCGGUCUGUCGCGUCGGCUGUGAAAACCCGGGGCUCAACCCCGGGCCUGCAGUCGAUACGGGCAGACUAGAGUGUGGUAGGGGAGAUUGGAAUUCCUGGUGUAGCGGUGGAAUGCGCAGAUAUCAGGAGGAACACCAAUGGCGAAGGCAGAUCUCUGGGCCGUAACUGACGCUGAGGAGCGAAAGCAUGGGGAGCGAACAGG